rnacentral:rRNA from 1 species
GACGAACGCUGGCGGCGUGCUUAAUACAUGCAAGUCAACUUGACUUUAGAUAGCAAUAUCGAAAAGUAGGGUGGCGCACGGGUGCGUAACGCGUAGGUAAUCUGCCCUGAGGUCUGACAUAACCCGUCGAAAGGCGGGCUAACAUCAGAUGAUAUAUAAUCACGACAUCGUGGAAAUAUCAAAUCUUCGGAGCCUUGGGAUGAGCCUGCGUCUGAUUAGGUAGUUGGCGGAGUAAUAGCCCACCAAGCCUACGAUCAGUAGCUGGUCUGAGAGGAUGAUCAGCCACACUGGAACUGAGACACGGUCCAGACUCCUACGGGAGGCAGCAGUAAGGAAUAUUGCUCAAUGGGGGAAACCCUGAAGCAGCAACGCCGCGUGAAGGAUGAAAUACUUUUGUAUGUAAACUUCUGUAAGUAUGGGAAAAAUAUUCUCCUCGGGAGAAUUGAUUGUACCAUCAGAGUAAG